rnacentral:rRNA from 1 species
UAUGGUAAUUGCCAGCAGCCGCGGUAAUACGGAAGGUCCAGGCGUUAUCCGGAUUUAUUGGGUUUAAAGGGAGCGUAGGCCGUUUGGUAAGCGUGUUGUGAAAUGUCGGGGCUCAACCUGGGCAUUGCAGCGCGAACUGCCAGACUUGAGUGCGCAGGAAGUAGGCGGAAUUCGUCGUGUAGCGGUGAAAUGCUUAGAUAUGACGAAGAACUCCGAUUGCGAAGGCAGCCUGCUGUAGCGCAACUGACGCUGAAGCUCGAAAGCGUGGGUAUCGAACAGG